UAGAAUUCGCGUUCUUUUAUGAACGACAUAUUUAAGCAGUAAAUUCAAACAGGAGUGCUGUCCUCUGUGCCGUGAUUUGGCCGCAUUUAAACAGCUCAGUAAACACAUAAUUAAUAUUAAUGACUGCAAAAAUGACACAACUCCGCUUCUGCUCGUGAAAGAAAACACUGGAAUGACGCAAACAGUGAAACUUCCUAAUGUUAGCAGCACUAUUGGGAAGCUCGACCAAUCCAGUCACCAGAACUAACUGUUAUAGCUUAAUCAAGUCAGAUUGAGUUAAUAAUUAUUUCUUAACUUUUAGUGUCAAUUGUGCACUCUUCUUCUUUGACUUUCUGUAGAUCAUUACUGGAAAAAUAAAUCAGAAUUGUGUUAUUUAUGUAUAAAUGCCUUUUUAUUACUAUAAGUACUUUUAAAAUAAUUAAAUAAUUACAUUAAUUUAAUUGAUGCCUCUAUCUAUAAAAGUCCCAUAGAGGAUAUGCAUUACUGCAAUUAAAUUUGCCACAGGGAUUUUGCCUAAUGACAACAUUCAUAUUUUCUCAAAAUAAUGGUUAAAUUAUGUUAGAUGGUUGAUCUGCAUCAGAAUGUUCCCAUUUAUGUUUUAAAAUGACAUAUUAUUGUUUUGUCAGUAUGUUAAAAAUGAAGGAAAAUAUGUCGCCACGUGGAAGGUUAAAGUCAGAUUUCAGUUAAAUUAUGUAAUGGUCUCAGAUGUGCUUGCAUUAGUGCUUAUGUUUUGGUAUUUUCAGGAAUCCAAACACUCACAAAAGUCUACAAAGUCUUGGAAUCAUAAAACAUAGUAAUGUGUUGCAGUAAUAUUUUUACAGUUUUAAUCAAUAUGCAAUAGUAGUGUAUGUUUACACCAGCUAAUCCAAAUGAGUUGAAUUUGUCCUUUUCUUCCCUUUUUUACUAGGAGUCACUGUAUUCUUUAGCCCUAAAAUGCCUGAUAAGCCUUUCUACAAUCAUUCUUCUUGGGUUGAUUAUCAUAUAUCAUGCCAGGGAAAUCCAGAUAGCCACAGUCUCGUUGGAUGAAGUCUGUCAGCAGAAGCCUCUGCACCGCUCUGGUGAAAUAUCUCACGCUGAUGUUGGCUGUCGGUACCUUGAGGUGAUUGAAAGCACAGGAAGAAGCGUUAGGGAGGGAAGAGAUCUGACGCUUGAGUGCAACAGACGGCUUCUGGAGGUUCUGUCCCAUUCAUUAUCUCUACAGAGAAGUCGAUUUUUUAACAGUAACAUAACCUUUCAUGUCGCAAGAUGAAGCUACUGUAUCAAAAUCAGUGUGAGUUCAACUUCAUUUUUAAGAAUUACUUGUGUAGGGCCUCAUGAAAUCCGUUAGAAUUUUUCCAAAUUCCAUUUUUUCCAUUUGAAUUUUUCUAGACUCUGUUUUAAUGGUUAAAUUAAAUUUUAUUAAUCAAAAAGCAUGUCUAAUUAAUUGAAAUCAUGAAACUUACAAUAUUAAACAGCAGUUCAUUAAAAGUUUAACAAAAGUUACAUUUUAAAGCCCUAUGAAAUGUGUUUUUUAAUUCAGUUAAAUUUUUUUA
rnacentral:lncRNA from 1 species